AGCCUUCCUUAUCCCUUUAUCUUCAAGUUGUUUUUGUCUCUU
rnacentral:sRNA from 1 species